rnacentral:rRNA from 1 species
ACGGGAGGCAGCAGUGGGGGAUAUUGCACAAUGGGCGCAAGCCUGAUGCAGCAACGCCGCGUGCGGGAAGACGGCCUUCGGGUUGUAAACCGCUGUCCUUGGUGAAGAAACAAAUGACGGUAACCAUGGAGGAAGCCACGGCUAACUACGUGCCAGCAGCCGCGGUAAUACGUAGGUGGCAAGCGUUGUCCGGAAUUACUGGGUGUAAAGGGAGUGUAGGCGGGACUGUAAGUCAGAUGUGAAAUAUGCCGGCUCAACUGGCAGACUGCAUUUGAAACUGCGGUUCUUGAGUGAAGUAGAGGUAAGCGGAAUUCCUAGUGUAGCGGUGAAAUGCGUAGAUAUUAGGAGGAACAUCAGUGGCGAAGGCGGCUUACUGGGCUUUAACUGACGCUGAGGCUCGAAAGCGUGGGGAGCAAACAGGAUUAGAUACCCUGGUA